UACGUAGGGGGCAAGCGUUGUCCGGAUUUAUUGGGCGUAAAGAGCUCGUAGGCGGCUUGUCGCGUCGUUCGUGAAAACCUGCAGCUCAACUGCAGGCUUGCGGUCGAUACGGGCAGGCUAGAGUUCGGUGGGGGAGACUGGAAUUCCUGGUGUAGCGGUGAAAUGCGCAGAUAUCAGGAAGAACACCCGUGGCUAAGGCGGCUCUCUAGUACGGUACUGACGCUGAGACGCGAAAGCGUGGGGAGCGAACAGG
rnacentral:rRNA from 1 species